rnacentral:rRNA from 1 species
GACGAACGAUGGCGGCGUGCUUAACACACGCAAGUCGACCGGUGAACGAGGGCGCUUUCUCCCUCCGGAUCAGUGGCGAACGGGUGAGUAACACGUUAGCACACUGCCCCGAACUCUGGGAUAAGCGUUGGAAACGACGUCUAAUACCGGAUACGCCGCGGGAGGGCAUCCUCUCCGCGCGGAAAGAACUUCGGUUCGGGAUGAGCUCGCGGCCUAUCAGCUUGUUGGUGAGGUAACGGCUCCCCAAGGCGACGACGUGUAGCCCGCCGGAGAGGGUGACCGUGGACGCAGGGAAUGGAACACGACCCAGACUCCUGCGGGAGGCAGAGGUGGAGAAUAUUGCGCAAGGGGGGCAAGCCUGAUGCAGCAGCGCCGCGUGAGGGAAGAUGGCCUUCGGGGUGUAAACCUCUUUUAGCAGGGAAGAAGCGAAAGUGACGGUACCUGCAGAAAAAGCACCGGCUAACUACGUG